rnacentral:rRNA from 1 species
AGAAUCAACGCUGGCGGCGUGCCUAACACAUGCAAGUCGAACGGGAAAGUGGAGCAAUCCAUGAGUAAAGUGGCGCACGGGUGAGUAACACGUGACUAACCUACCCUUGAGUGGGGGAUAACCUAGAGAAAUCUGGGCUAAUACCGCAUAAUACCUUCGGGUCAAAGGAGCAAUUCGCUUAAGGAGGGGGUCGCGGCCGAUUAGUUAGUUGGCGGGGUAAUGGCCCACCAAGACUGUGAUCGGUA